rnacentral:tRNA from 1 species
CGCGGUGCUGCCGGAUCGGGACGCGCUGGUGUCCUCGCGCGACACCGGGACGAUCACCCGGUUCGGGCCGGGCACGGUGCC